CAUGUGCUGACUUCAAAAUCCAAUAACUCCUUCAUCCCAAAUUAGAAUCUAGUAAGCAGUAUUUGAAAAGUAUAGCCGCAAAAGUGCUCUCUCCAGUCGCAGUCACCGAUCCUCAAUUUCCAUCCUUACGCGUGCGUUAUACACAAAAGAGUGACAGUAGGUCCAAAACUAACACCUUAACUUUGAGCACCUAUGACUUCUU
rnacentral:lncRNA from 1 species